UUGUACCACAACCUGACUCGACCAGGGUAAAUUGGAGUUACCGGGUACCAUCUGUGUCUUUCGUAACUUUAUCAUGCACAAACGAUGCUUUACUUUUUGCUAGCCCUGCUGUCUUUUAUUUUCUGCCCCUGGUCAUCCGUGGAAUGACCCUGAAGAGAUGGACUGUGUUUUAUUGCAGUAUAACAGCCUGUGGAUUUUUCUCCCUGGGCAGAACCCCGAUAAUGGGACGCCAUGCAGGCGAGUAAAUGCCAAGAAAGGGCUGCAAGUAAAUUCACAGCCCUUCUUGUACAACGAUCAAACCAACGUGAAGGCAGUGAUCGGCCCCAUGUUCAGCAGCAUAGCCUUGAGUUUGGGACCCAUUCUGAGUCCCUUUCUUAUGCCACAGGUGAGGGGCGAUGCUUCAGCUACUGUCAGUUUCAGUGGACCCUGACUGCCCUCCUCGGAAGUGAGAGAGACAGUGCAGAGUCUAUCUAAACUGGCAUUGAAAUACUUGAUUUGCAUAGCUUAUCAAGCCAUCCUACCCUAUUACAGCGAAGACACAAGGACUGAAAUGCUACAGAUGAUUAAAGGCAGAGAUGCCCGGCUUUGCCGAGUUCGAAUCUCUUUCUAUUGAAUCGGAGAACUCUAAGGCCAACGAGGAACCAGUGUGCCGAAAUGAAGCUUUCUCCGAGAUCCUUGCCUGUUACCAGGUAUGCGACCAGUGCAGGUCACUGAAUUCUACAGACGUGCCCUCCCUGCUGGAAGCCUUCGAUAUUCAAUCUUCAUUCAAUGUCUACACCGCCGUGUACGCUGUUGCACACGCACUGCACCAGUUACUAGGCUGCAACUCUGGAGAGUAUUAUUAUUCACUGUGGCCUGGUUUACAGUUUCAACAAAAUAAACCCCGUAAACAGCCUGACUAAAUACCAAACUCCAAUUACUUGUAUAUCUUUUGUAAGCCAGCUAUCUUUGUGUAUUCAUAAUUAAUAUACAUUUAUUUAUUUUUUAAAUCAGUUGCACUAUUCUCCCAUUAAGUGUGUGAUUCUUUAACCAAAUAUUGAAGAAUAUAUACACUCAGAAGUAAGCAGGCUUCUGGUGUAAUCUAUUAUAAAGUUGGAGUCAUCUAUCUUUUUAAAUAUACAGUAAAGAACAUUUAAUGGGUCUACUCUAAACCAUUCUGCUGAUGUAAACCAUCCAGCUACUGCAAGAUUUGCAUCUCGGUUUAACAAUUUCUGAAAUGCAACCGGUCAACUUAUUUCCUGUUAUGGAUGUGUAGCCACACCGGUUGUAUGACAAGACACAUGCAAAUCUUAAACUUUGUGCUUAGAUGUGCUGUCAACUUAGCAGAGAAAGCCAUGCUGUAUGUUAAUCUGCAGAUAAAAUAAUAAGAAAACCUUUACUAUUAUUAUUAUUAUUAUUAUUAUUAAACAUGACUUAUUUUGUUUUAUUCUGUUUUGACUUGUUCUUUAUAUCACUAACAAAGCUGUAAAAAAAAAAAAAAAAAGGAAAAACCUCACUUGUUUACAGCUUGAAUAUAGACCUGCUGUCAUUUUCUGCCCCAGUUCAUCCGUGGAAUGAGCCUGAAGAUCUGCACUGCGUUCCACUGCAGUAUACCAGCCUGGGGAUUAUGUGAUUAGGGGAUUGUUCUCCCAUAAUGGGACGCCAUGCAGGCGAGAGUAAAUGAUAGGUGCACUUUCUACUUUCGAUUACCCAGAGACUUUUGGUGUAGGCCUACAUUGACAUUUAAAACAUGGGAGAAAAAUGUAUCGCUUUUUAGUAGGAAGUAUAUGGAAGCAGUUUUGUACAAAAAAAAAAUCCUAAUUUUGGUAACACUUUAGUUUAGUGCAUACAAAUAAAGCUUUAUUAAAUUAACAGUUCUUAUUGUUUUUGAUAGGUAACUAUAGUAGAAGAUGACUUUUUUUUAAUCAAUAAGGCUAACUAGUUCUCUGAAGAAACCAACUAUGUUUAGUUAUGAAGUAGUUGUUAAAUUUGAAGUUACCUGAAAACUUUUAUUAUUAUUUGUAUUUAUUUUUUGGUAAACUAAACCUUGCUGCCUUCUGACAGAAAAUGUUUAAUUAAACCAAUAUUUCAAUAUGGGCAGCAGUGUGGAGUAGUGGUUAGGGCUCUGGACUCUUGACCGGAG